rnacentral:rRNA from 25 species
GGUUAAGCGACUAAGCGUACACGGUGGAUGCCCUGGCAGUCAGAGGCGAUGAAGGGCGUGCUAAUCUGCGAUAAGCGCCGGUAAGGUGAUAUGAACCGUUAUAACCG